GAUGAACGCUGGCGGUAUGCUUUACACAUGCAAGUCGUACGAGAGUUUUAACUCAAGUGGCGGACGGGUGAGUAACACGUAAGAAUUUGCCUUUAGGAGGGGGACAACAACUGGAAACGGUUGCUAAUACCCCAUAUGCUUUCGAGUGAAAUGGUUUUUCCGCCUAAAGAGAAGCUUGCGGCUGAUUAGCUUGUUGGUAAGGUAAUGGCUUACCAAGGCGACGAUCAGUAUCUGGUUUGAGAGGACGAUCAGACACACUGGAACUGAGACACGGUCCAGACUCCUACGGGAGGCAGCAGUGGGGAAUAUUGGACAAUGGGCGCAAGCCUGAUCCAGCCAUGCCGCGUGUGUGAUGAAGGCCCUAGGGUUGUAAGCACUUUCAACGGUGAAGAUAAUGACGGUAACCGUAGAAGAAGCUCCGGCU
rnacentral:rRNA from 1 species